rnacentral:tRNA from 1 species
GUGGAUGUAGCUCAGCUGGUUAGAGCAUCAGGUUGUGGCCCUGAGGGUCGAGGGUUCAAAUCCCUUCGUUCACC